rnacentral:rRNA from 1 species
AUUGAACGCUGGCGGCAGGCUUAACACAUGCAAGUCGAACGAGUGGCGGCCGGGUGAGUAAUGCUUGGGAAUCUAGCUUUUGGAGCAGGAUAACUACGGGAAACUGUAGCUAAUACCGCGUACCAUAGGAUGAGCCCAAGUGGGCUUAGGUAGUUGGUGAGGUAAAGGCUCACCAAGCCGACGAUCUCUAGCUGGUCUGAGAGGAUGACCAGACACCAUUGGACUGAGAGGCGGCCCAGACUCCUACGGGAGGCAGCAGUGGGGAAUAUUGCGCAAUUGACGAAAGUUGACGGAGCAAGGCCGCGUGAGUGAGGACAGCCGACGGGUUGUAAAGCUCUGUUAAUCGGGAGGCGGUACCGGAAUAGAAAGCCACGGCUAACUACGUGCCAGCAGACGCGGUAAUAC